rnacentral:rRNA from 1 species
AACGGCCAUACCAUGCUGAAUAUACCGGUUCUCGUUAGAUCACCGAAGUGGAGCAUCAUUGGGCGCGGUCAGUACUUGGGUGGGUGACCACCUGGGAACACCGCGUGCCGUU